UACGGGGGGGGCAAGCGUUGUUCGGAAUUACUGGGCGUAAAGGGCUCGUAGGCGGCCAACUAAGUCAGACGUGAAAUCCCUCGGCUUAACCGGGGAACUGCGUCUGAUACUGGAUGGCUGGAGUAUGGGAGAGGGAUGCGGAAUUCCAGGUGUAGCGGUGAAAUGCGUAGAUAUCUGGAGGAACACCGGUGGCGAAGGCGGCAUCCUGGACCAUUACUGACGCUGAGGAGCGAAAGCCAGGGGAGCAAACGGG
rnacentral:rRNA from 1 species